rnacentral:rRNA from 1 species
UACGUAGGGCGCAAGCGUUGUCCGGAAUUAUUGGGCGUAAAGAGCUCGUAGGCGGUUCGGUAAGUCGGGUGUGAAACCUCCAGGCUCAACCUGGAGACGCCACCCGAUACUGCUGUGACUAGAGUCCGGUAGGGGAGCGUGGAAUUCCUGGUGUAGCGGUGAAAUGCGUAGAUAUAGGAAGGAACACCAGUGGCGAAGGCGACCACCUGGACUGAUACUGACACUGAGGUGCGAAAGCGUGGGGAGCAAACAGG